rnacentral:rRNA from 1 species
AGCGGAGGAAAAGAAACCAACAGGGAUUGCCUUAGUAACGGCGAGUGAACAGGCAAGAGCUCAGAUUUGAAAGCCUUUCGGGGCAUUGUAUUCUGAAGCCUUGAUUCUGAGAACCGGUACCUAAGUCUUCUGGAAAGGAGCGCCAAGGAGGGUGAUAGCCCCGUACGGUACUGACCUCAUUGUAGAAUCUUGGCGUGGAGUCGAGUUGUUUGGGAAUGCAGCUCAAAUGGGUGGUAUGCUCCAUCUAAAGCUAAAUAUCUGCGAGAGACCGAUAGCGAACAAGUACUGUGAAGGAAAGAUGAAAAGAACUUUGAAAAGAGAGUGAAAAAGUACGUGAAAUUGUUGAAAUGGAAGGAUAGGCCGCUAACCACGUAGAGCCGUGUCUGAGGGGAGGAUAAAAGCUGUAGAAUGUGGCUCUUCGGAGUGUUAUAGCUGCAGUGCAUACUCCCACUCGGGCGCGAGGACCUAAGGC